UACGUAGGUGGCAAGCGUUAUCCGGAAUUAUUGGGCGGAAAGCGCGCGCAGGUGGUUUCUUAAGUCUGAUGUGAAAGCCCACGGCUCAACCGUGGAGGGUCAUUGGAAACUGGGAGACUUGAGUGCAGAAGAGGAAAGUGGAAUUCCAUGUGUAGCGGUGAAAUGCGUAGAGAUAUGGAGGAACACCAGUGGCGAAGGCGACUUUCUGGUCUGUAACUGACACUGAGGCGCGAAAGCGUGGGGAGCAAACAGG
rnacentral:rRNA from 1 species